GAUGUGAGUUUAGGGUUUAGGACCUUGAAUAUAAAUAAAGCUCUAAGAAGGAAUAAUGGGUUAACCCGUCUUGUCAGGGGUGAAAGGCGACUUGUCUAUGAUCGUUUAGAGAUGGCGAGUCGUGCCGACACCUUAUACAUCGAACACAUCUUUCAGAAAGUUUAUACUAGAUCGGAUGCUUGUAAUGCCUGCCUUUUGCGUACGCAUACGAGUGUUAAUUUCUUAAUAAAGAGAUUCUGUGCUAUUGGUGCAGUAUAGUUGUCAUCAUGUGUGAAAGGCUCUUUGCAUUGGGGUUCUUAUGAAAGGUCUUAUUUGGUUGAAGAAAAGUAUACUUCUGGAUCAUAUUGAGAUGCUCUCUACCUCUGAAUGCUUGCUUUUUUUGCAGCUGCAUGUAUGGCAUAUGGUUUAGCAGAAUCAUGCAAGCAUUUCAUUAGUGGUUAUCAAUGGUUCUGAUCUGUUGCUACAUUUUCAGCUGCCUCUGCUGAUGAUCUUCACUCUGAGGUGCUGAAAUUUGCUCGAGUCAAGGAUCAAUGAUGUUCAUGCUUUACCAUCCACUGUUAAACUCUGGACUCUCAAAUGGUUCUCAACCAGGUCACAGCACCUUUGUGGUGAAAUGACUCGAGGGAUCAGGUUGAGCAGGCCAGAGUCCUCAUUUUUGUUUAUUGCUAUGCUGCUGCCCUGGGAUCUCGUCUGCCAUCAUAGCUAGUGUGAAAGCCGGGGUUGCUGGUGCAAUCGCACUCUUGUAACCCAUCUCCAGCAACACUCAGAUAACAUGCUUGUGCUUUGUGCAUUGAUUGUCCAGAGACUUGUAAUCAGGCCUUUUAUUAGCUGUGUUCUAAUUCUGCUGUGUUCUAAUUCUGAGUUAGUAAAGCCACUUGAAUUUGGCUGAAACAUCUCUUUCCCCGUGGGAAUCUUAUACAUCACAUCUUGUCUUCAAAUUGAUCCAGGAUUAAGAGAGGAAUCAGAGAGAUGCAUUUUCUGAAGGAAGCAUUUCUUCAUAUUUGCAACACAACAUGGGACAAUUUUGUUCUACUUCAAUCUUUGUCAUGGGAAGUCGACCUCAUUUACUCUGGCCGGGCAAGAUCAUUAUUGUGACAUGAUCAUCCAAUAGAAUUGGUCCUCGGAGCAGUCCUUUGGCAUAAUUAUUUUCCCUGCUUGUAAAAAAAAAUCCUAAAUUUGCACUUGUCUUAAGAUCACGUCUCCACCUUUUCAAGUCAAGUUCAUCAAUGGACAUAAUAUGCACCUUAAUUCAUGGUUGCCCAGGCACAUUUUAACA